rnacentral:tRNA from 2 species
UUUUCUUUAGUAUAAUAAGUAUAUUUAACUUCCAAUUAAAAGGUUUAAUUUAAAGAAAAA